AUACAUAGAGAUAUUCCAAGUGUGAAGCAGAGAGAGAAAUCUUUUAAGAGAGAUUAUCAAGGAUCAAAGUCCUACUGAAGAGACUUUAGUUUCUGUUUUUUAAAUUAAAAAGCAAGCUCCCUCUUCUGAUUUUUUUCAGUAAGCCUAAGGGAUAGUUUGAGAAAAUACCAACCUUUUUCUUUGAAAUUCCAAGGUUCACACAAUCCUGGCAGCUCUCAGGAUCUUGUUGCGGAUCUGAACAGAGUCACAAACUAAAAGAAUAGGUCGGGAAAUGUUAGAUCUACCUGAGGCUGUGGUGGAAAGCCUGUCAACAGGAUGCUACACUUCCUGUCGCAUAGUCCCUGUACGUUUAGUUAACCAAUCACUACCAUACUCAGAGAGAAAUCCAUGAAUCUUCCAAAAAUCAUGUAUUUGGAGGCAAAAAUUGUUUUCUCUGACCCAUCUCUAGAGGAGAGGAAUCUCAUCUCCUCCUGUAAUAUUAAAAUAUGUGUCUUCUGGCCCAAGAUUAAAAGCAAACCAAACCCAGUACUGAAAGAACAACUCAAUUAUAAGUUAAAAAUCUACAAAAAUUUUAAAAAGUAAUUUGAGCAAACUCUGUAUCUAGCCAACCUAUGUAACCACAAGACAGACGCUAAGGCCUCCCUGCUACCCUGCGUCUAUCUGGAAGUGAAGUGUCCUGAGACUUUAAAUGAAUGUCUUUGUUAUCAGAGGAACUGAAUUGGAAAAAGAAGCUUU
rnacentral:lncRNA from 1 species